GAUGAACGCUGACAGAAUGCUUAACACAUGCAAGUCAUUGGCGAAGCUGCGCUUGCGCAGUCUAGCCAAGGCGGACGGGUGAGUAACGCGUCAGGAACUUGCCCUGCAGACAGGGAUAACAGACGGAAACGACUGAUAACACCUGGUAUUGUCAGGCUGGCGCAUGCCGGCCUGAUGAAAGGAGACACUGCAGGAGAGCCUUGCGUCCUAUUAGCUAGUUGGUGGGGUAACGGCCCACCAAGGCGAUGAUAGGUAGCCGGCCUGAGAGGGUGAACGGCCACAAGGGGACUGAGAUACGGCCCUUACUCCUACGGGAGGCAGCAGUGGGGAAUAUUGGACAAUGGGGGCAACCCUGAUCCAGCAAUUCUGUGUGCACGAAGAAGGUUUUCGGAUUGUAAAGUGCUUUCAGCAGGGAAGAAGAAAGUGACGGUACCUGCAGAAGAAGCGACGGCUAAAUACGUG
rnacentral:rRNA from 1 species